UCCGAGUUGACCCCGGCAGUCUCCCAUGAGUCCCCACCACUACGUGCUGGCAACAUGGAACGAGGGUUGCGCUCGUUGCGGGACUUAACCCAACACCUCACGGCACGAGCUGACGACAACCAUGCACCACCUGUAUACGGCCCCGAAUGACCCCACAUCUCUGCAGGUCCACGGGUGAUGUCAAACCUUGGUAAGGUUCUUCGCGUUGCGUCGAAUUAAGCAACAUGCUCCGCCGCUUGUGCGGGCCCCCGUCAAUUCCUUUGAGUUUCAGCCUUGCGGCCGUACUCCCCAGGCGGGGCACUUAUCGCGUUAGCUACGGCACCGAAGGGGUCGCUCCCCCCGGCACCUAGUGCCCAUCGUUUACGGCGUGGACUAC
rnacentral:misc_RNA from 1 species